UAUAGGUUUAUAGGCACAAAGGCCCAUUGAUUACAUUCUAUGACAUACAUUGGGGUAUAUAAAGAAACAUAGGCCUGGAAAUGCAAGGAGAGACAUAAAGUCAAUCCUCAAACCUGAGUGGCGAGCAUUCAGAGAGAUAUAUCCAGGUCUACAAAAGGUGCACAGGUGGAGAUAUAAAGAUGACAAGCGUGCACAUGCUCCCUAGAGAACCAGCAGCAACUCAUCAGGUUUAUUUCAAUAAUGAUCCUUCCGCAGGUUCACCUACGGAAA
rnacentral:misc_RNA from 1 species